rnacentral:rRNA from 1 species
AACCCCCGCAAUGUGAGAAAUCGCGACGGGGGGAUCCCAAGUGCCAUUCUUAACGGGAUGGCUUUUCAUUAGUGUAAAGAGCUUUUGGAAUAAGGGCUGGGCAAGACCGGUGCCAGCCGCCGCGGUAACACCGGCAGCUCUAGUGGUAGCAGUUUUUAUUGGGCCUAAAGCGUCCGUAGCCGGUUUAAUAAGUCUCUGGUGAAAUCCUGUAGCUUAACUGUGGGAAUUGCUGGAGAUACUAUUAGACUUGAGACCGGGAGAGGUUAGAGGUACUCCCAGGGUAGAGGUGAAAUUCUGUAAUCCUGGGAGGACCGCCUGUUGCGAAGGCGUCUAACUGGAACGGUUCUGACGGUGAGGGACGAAAGUUAGGGGCGCGGAACCGGAUUAGAUACCCGGGUAGUCCUAACUGUAAACGAUGCGGACUUGGUGUUGGGGUGGCUUUGAGCUGCUCCAGUGCCGAAGGGAAGCUGUUAAGUCCGCCGCCUGGGAAGUACGGUCGCAAGACUGAAACUUAAAGGAAUU